GUUCAUUUGUUCACUCAAUAUUUAAAAAGCAUCUACCAUGUGCCGGGCAGUGAGGCACUAAGAACACAGGCACUGUGUUUAUGGAGCUCAUAGCUCCAAAGGGAGCUCGAGAGUAAACCGGAGACAAGCUGGCGGCAGAGGAAAGCCAGGGAGAGGGGAAAAGCACACACAUGCUCUGUGCUUGCAAGGAGCUCGAGGACAAGGAGACCAGCGCAUGGGCGAGGAGCCAGCAGCAAGGGGAACAUGCUGAGAGAGGAGGCCGGAUUGACUGCAGGGGCCAAGAUGAUGCAGAAUCUUACGAACUUCUUAAAGGAUUUUGAACAUUUUUCUAAGAACGAAGGAAAACCUUUAAAAUGCAUUAAGGAGGAUUAUAAGAGAUUAAGUGAUCAGAUCUGAAGUCACAUGGAGAAGAAAUUUAAAGUGGUGAAAGUGCUCCCACAGAAUCCAGAUACAAGAAAAAGUAGGACUGUGCUAAGGAGCACCUCCUGCAGAGAGUGCUACUGAAUUUACCAGCUUUCGUGAGGGGACCGACAGUCUCCAGAGACGUCUUUCAUCUUCUACCCAGGGCAUGCAAGCUCGCUGCAGGAGCGACACCACACCCCUCCUUCCAUCCUGCCACAAUCAUGAGGUUCUUUCUUGCCAAGCCCUCACUCCCUCAUAAGAUCCUUCUCAACAAAGCAUUCCAUAUGGUUAGACUUGGUAUCUGAGUUGCAACCAAACCCAUCUGCCACCUCAGAUAAUUCUCAUUACAGAAGUCAAAUAGAAUUCACAUAAAUAAUAAAACUUUUAAUCUAAAAAAAUACCAAAAACGCCCAAUUAAGCAGAUAUGUUUCCACAGCAAAUCCAAACACAUCGCAAAAUUUAUGGGAAUAAUUAUCAAGUAUAAACA